rnacentral:rRNA from 1 species
AUGAACGCUGGCGGCGUGCCUAAUACAUGCAAGUCGCGCGAACGGACGAGAAGCUUGCUUCUCUGAUGUUAGAGGCGGACGGGCGAGUAACACGUGGAUAACCUACCUAUAAGACUGGGAUAACUUCGGGAAACCGGCGCUAAUACCGGAUAAUAUUUUGAACCGCAUGGUUCAACAGUGAAAGACGGUCUUGCUGUCACUUAUAGAUGGAUCCGCGCUGCAUUAGCUAGUUGGUAAGGUAACGGCUUACCAAGGCAACGAUGCAUAGCCGACCUGAGAGGGUGAACGGCCACACUGGAACUGAGAAACGGUCCCGACUCCGACGGGAGGAAGCAGUAGGGAAUCUUCCGCGAUGGGCGAGAGCCUGACGGAGCAACGCCGCGGGAGGGAUGAAGGUCUUCGGAUCGUAAAACUCUGUUAUUAGGGAAGAGGAUAUGUGUAAGUAACUGUGCACAUCUUGACGGUACCUAGUCAGAAAGCCACGGCUAACUACGUG